rnacentral:tRNA from 1 species
AGCCUUGAGGUGUACAGCACGUCAGAUUGCAAAUCUGAAGGGGGAGAGUAAUAUCUUCCGAGGCUU